rnacentral:rRNA from 1 species
UGCCAGCCGCCGCGGUAAUACGGAGGGUGCAAGCGUUGUUCGGAAUUAUUGGGCGUAAAGAGCAUGUAGGCGGACUGUUAAGUCUGGCGUGAAAGCCCGGGGCUCAACCCCGGAAGUGCGUUGGAUACUGGCAGUCUUGAGUAUGGGAGAGGAAAGUGGAAUUCCGAGUGUAGGAGUGAAAUCCGUAGAUAUUGGGAAGAACACCAGUGGCGAAGGCGGCUCUCUGGCCAAUGUCUGACGCUAAUGUGUGAAAGCGUGGGUAGCGAACAGGAUUAGAUA